UUUUAUUAAUCUGUUCCCAUACCUAGUUCUAUCUGUAAAACAUGGCAUGACUCAGAACAGUCUUAUAAGUAAAUGAAAAGAAAUAUUAAAAGUUUUGUAAAGAAAUAAUACAAUGAAACAAAUCUAUGCAGAGAAGAAAAUGGAGAGAAUCCAAAUGAAGUCCUGAAGUUUUUCUGUGUGAUUUUGGAACUUAAACAGACUUGAAAGGACAGAGGCAGAACUCCUGGAGUCUCUACAAGUGUUUCCUGAGCACAAAACAUCCUCUGUGUCCACACAGCCAGUGCACAUCCUGAGAAGAUGGAGAAAUGCAGCAGGAACAUGGGAUCCCACUGCUUCCAGGAACACCCUUAGGGUGUUUGGGACACUGUCUUCCUAUGAACCCUUCCUGUGUUGAAGCCACAAUAAGACCUCUCAGAAUUUUUCAGUGCAUUUCCAUAAAAUCAUCAAGAAUGGAAUGAGAGUUCAGCUAUUACUGUGCCUCUUCAAAACUCAGCUGUAAAAAUUUAGUAGAUAAAAGAAGAGGAAAAAAAAGCUUAAAAUCUGGGUUUCAUUCCCAGCACCCACAGGAUGGCUCAUAAAUAUCUGGAACUCCAACCCUGGUGGAUAUGAUGCCCUCUUCUGGUCUCCUCCUCCUCACUGCAUACAUGUGGUGCACAUCAUACAUUUCAAGGCCCCAACUGGAGAAUGCUACCAUCAACAGGGGAUGGGUCUGCUUUCUAGGAGCAAAUAUGGCAUGACCUGGUGACCAACCUACCAGGCACAGGGUGCUUCUGAUGUCAGAAGACUGACUUCUCAAAAAGCCUGUGUAGCCAAUAACUGGCCUGCAGAGGUAUCUGCAUUCUCCAGGUCUUCUCUAAUGUGUUUCUUCUAAAUAGAAACACUGGCAGCAUCAAUAAUCCCUAUCCACUCUGACGAAUGAACUCACCCAUCAUAGUCAAUAGGCCUUCCACUAUAUAAGUGGUUGCUCACAUGAAAUAAAACUGUUCCUGUCCCCUGAAA